ACGGAAGGCAGCAGUGGGGAAUAUUGCACAAUGGGCGCAAGCCUGAUGCAGCAACGCCGCGUGAGGGAAGACGGUCUUCGGAUUGUAAACCUCUGUCUUGGUGACGAAGAAUGACGGUAGCCGAGGAGGAAGCCACGGCUAACUACGUGCCAGCAGCCGCGGUAAUACGUAGGUGGCAAGCGUUAUCCGGAUUUACUGGGUGUAAAGGGCGCGUAGGCGGGGAUGCAAGUCAGAUGUGAAAUCCAUGGGCUUAACCCAUGAACUGCAUUUGAAACUGUAUCUCUUGAGUGUCGGAGAGGUAGACGGAAUUCCUAGUGUAGCGGUGAAAUGCGUAGAUAUUAGGAGGAACACCAGUGGCGAAGGCGGUCUACUGGACGAUAACUGACGCUGAGGCGCGAAAGCGUGGGGAGCAAACAGGAUUAGAUACCCUGGUA
rnacentral:rRNA from 1 species